CCGACCACGCCUCACCAAGCCCUGUCCCGAGACGCCUGCCUGUGUGUCCUUGGCACACCCCAGACAUCAUGGCGGUCCUUGUUAAGUGCGGCUGGACCCAUCCAUAGGUUGUCACCUGUGAGGGGCGGGCGAGCAGCCCUCUUGGUGUUUGCAUUUUGCCACAAGGGACACUGAGAGUUGGGGAA
ensembl:misc_RNA